CCUCCGGGUGGCAGCAGUGGGGAAUAUUGCACAAUGGGGGAAACCCUGAUGCAGCGACGCCGCGUGAAGGAAGAAGUAUUUCGGGAUGUAAACUUCUAUCAGCAGGGAAGAAAAUGACGGUACCUGACUAAGAAGCUCCGGCUAACUACGUGCCAGCAGCCGCGGUAAUACGUCGGGGGCGAGCGUUAUCCGGAUUUACUGGGUGUAAAGGGAGCGUAGGCGGCGAUGCAAGUCAGAAGUGAAAGCCCGGGGCUCAACUCCGGGACUGCUUUUGAAACUGUGUUGCUAGAUUGCAGGAGAGGUAGGUGGAAUUCCUGGUGUAGCGGUGAAAUGCGUAGAUAUUAGGAGGAACACCAGUGGCGAAGGCGGCUUACUGAACUGUAAAUGACGCUGAGGCUCGAAAGCGUGGGGAGCAAACAGGAUUAGAUACCCUUGUAGUC
rnacentral:rRNA from 1 species